AUGACUUCAGAGGGUUCAUAAGCCUCCAGAAGCUCAGCUGGGGGCCCCAGGCCAGUGACUGCAGGUUGAGGACACCAGGAAGGAAGAGGACUGUUUCAUGAGAUCCCUCCAAAUUACAGGUGAACAAGUUGACAUCAUAGAGGCUACAGAAGAGGCCCGGGCUCACACCAUCUCAGAAACAACCACAUCAAAACCCGGGCCUUCUGUAUACUUCUCAUCUAGGAGUUCCCACCAAAAGGUUUCAAAAAGGAAGGAAGUGCACCUCCUGGGGAGCAGGUAGGUCUCCGCACAGACUAGGCGGGACAAGAGAGCAGCUUUGUCCGUCCGGGGCUGACAUCUAGAGGACUGAAACCUGACACACCGCCGAUGCCAGCAUUAAUGGGGGAGCAAUAAGAGCCCAUUAAUUUCAGUCCUGCUCCAUCAGCAACAAGUGGACACAUUCACCUCACUCCCCCUCCCCAACUCUUCCGACCACUUGGCUCCUGAGGA